AGAGUUUGAUCCUGGCUCAGGACGAACGCUGGCGGCGUGCUUAACACAUGCAAGUCAAGGGGGCCCGCAAGGGCAACCGGCGAACGGGUGCGUAACACGUGAGCAAUCUGCCGAUUUCUGGGGGAUAGCCGGCCCAACGGCCGGGUAAUACCGCAUACGCUCAGUUGGAGGAGUCUUUGACUGAGGAAACCUCUGGGGGA
rnacentral:rRNA from 1 species